CUGACCUUAGCAGUUUAUUGAAGGAUCAGGGUUCCCCUCAGGCAGCCAGCAGACACCUCUCACUGCAAAGCAUAUGCUCACUUUUCCUCAAUUGUUACCUAAUUUUUGUACCAAAAUCCCUUUUAUAUGGUAUCGUUAAGGAAAUUCACAGGACAGUGACCCUGUAAGAGUAUAUACCAAUUUCAGCCAUUAGAAAAACAGUAAUUAAAUUAGCUGCAAUUUUCGGCUUUCUCACCCUUUGAAGGGCAAUAUGUAGUUACAAAAUGAAACAGUUCAUACAGAGAUUUCUGCCAAACCUCAAGCCUGCUUGGAAUUGUUACAUGGUGGCCAGUCUUUUGUAAUAAAGAGUUCAAAUUCCCUGUUAGAAUUACCCAAGAAGUCACAUUCCCAUAGGAUUUCAAGGAGAUAUUCACUUCAGUUCACUCAUUUACAAAGUGUCAUUCAGAAAAGCCUGUUUUGCCACUAUUAAUAGAAUUGUUCAAUAUCACACUACCUAAUAAUCCGAGGUCCCUUGCAACAUAUUUAUUAAAAGUUAGCUUAAAAUUUACUGGAUUUGCUACUUUCAGUGUUCCUGAGCCUGCUUCCUCUUACCUGCCCUUUCCCUUUCUGGAUGACUCUUUUUAAUUCAUAAGCUUUCCAUUAGAAGUCGGCCCAAACAGGAGCCAUGCAUCCAACUUGAUGAUGCUGAUUCAAACCUACUUUGAUUCCAGACUUCCAUGAGGAAUGCUUUCAGUACUCCUACAGGAUUUGACUAACAACUUCUGACAAACUCAAAGAUUCAGCAUCUGGGAGUUCAUUAUCUCCACCAACACACAAGCUGGAGCUCAGUGUAACACCCUUGUCUUCAGCUCUGAAAGAACACUCAGGCAUGUCUAGCAGAAAUAAUUGAGACAGGAGAUCACAGUACCAGCACAUAUAAGCAGAAGAAUACUAGUAGAUAUCACAGCUACACACUCACCAGAACAGCUGGUUGCCAACAGGGUUGGGAGAGAAUGAGGUAAAACCAAAGGAUGGGAAGUAGCCAUGGAAGAUUAUAAGUGAGGGAUUACUUGCUGAAGUAACUACAAGCAGAAGGAUUUGCAGAAGUGGAAUCCCAGACAUGCUUUUCCACCCUUUUCCACUGGAGACAUCAGAAAGGAAUCUAGAGUUUAAGAAACAUCAUGCAAGAGGGCUAAGAUGUUACAGUGAAUUUUAAGACAACCGUACUGCAUGCCAAGGAGUGUUCCCAAGUGCAGGGCUAGAAAUUACAGAGUUUACCAAGGAAUAAUGAGACAGCAAACAGAUAAGAAAGACACAGCUCAGUGGAAACUAAAUGUGAACCAGAUUUACCCAUAAUGUUUAGCAGUCAAACUACUGAAGGAUUUCAUUUAACAGCAUUACUGAUAUUCCUGAUAAUCGAAACUCACACAUCUCUUUGGGCUGAUUGCACAGGUUUCCUUUGCAAAGGGGUAAAUUUUCCUCCUGAGAGAACAAUUAUGAGUUUAGAGGUUGGUAAUGGGGUUACUCCAGACAGAUGUCACAGCAGAGCCUUCCCAUCCCCAGACUCUCAAAGAAACCCAGGAAACUCCCAUGUUUUAGCCUAGAGAAGUCAGCAAUAUCCUGCAGGACCACCUCUGCCCUGUCUACUCCCGCCUGCAAUUUAACAAAUAUUAAACUUGCCUGUGGCACCUCUCUGGAGAACCUGCUGGAGCCCCCAUCGUGGCAGUCCAUGGCCAGUUCUGUGACCAAUGCACAGAGUGGCCUGUUCAGGUUACCAGGAAUGCAAUGGAGACCAGGCUAAACCACGUCCACCACAACAUCUCCUGCCUGUGUUAUUUUCCCACUUAAUCACUCAAU